GAAUAAGAAGCGAUUUUUUGCACUCAGUUUCGACCUGAAUCUAGAUAACUCAGUUAUCCUUAUUCU
rnacentral:tRNA from 2 species